UACGAAGGGGGCUAGCGUUGCUCGGAAUUACUGGGCGUAAAGGGCGCGUAGGCGGCACUGUUAGUCAGGCGUGAAAGUCCUGGGCUCAACCUGGGAACUGCGCUUGAUACGGCAGAGCUAGAGGAUGGAAGAGGCUCGUGGAAUUCCCAGUGUAGAGGUGAGAUUCGUAGAUAUUGGGAAGAACACCGGUGGCGAAGGCGGCGAGCUGGUCCAUUACUGACGCUGAGGCGCGACAGCGUGGGGAGCAAACAGG
rnacentral:rRNA from 1 species